AAAAAUGAUUGCAAAACCAUCAAUUAGGUGGCGAUAUGCACUAAGCAUUAGGCCUACAUGACCUUUGAACAAAAGAAGAAAGAAGCAUUUAUGGCGCGCUUAUUCUUAGAGUCCGUUUCCAUAGUGACUCGUAGAUUCGUCGCUCUGUUGAGAAUGUCUUGAGUCUUAAUCAGGAACAUACUCCGAGUUGAAUGAACUUACUCCCGGACGUGUUUUUGGAACCACAUACCUCGAGUAAGCAAGGUUUGGGGUUAAUCAACCGAAAGUUCAGGGUUUAUCUGACGAAAAGUUGUCAACGACAAGCCUGACAUCACCCAGAUGGUACUUCAGAGUCCAGCUCUUUUUACAGUAAAGCAGGAUGCAGCUGACAAGACAGACUCCAGUAAACAGUGCCGAUCCUAGACUUCUGGGGGCCCUACUCAAAACAUUUGUCCGUGCUUCACUCCAUUUCAAAUCGCGCUCGCGGAAAGUGCUUGAGAAACAGUAUCUCUUCCGCGGUUUGGUAUGCUUUCAACUCUUUUUUUUUUUUUUUUGUCUCGAGACUGUAUGACAUUCUCAUUACAUGAUUUGACUGAUUUUUACGUAGAGAGGGUGACAGCGCACCGCAUUAAAAGAAAUGAUCAUUCAUGUUUUCAUAACCGCUGGCCAAACUCAAAAACGAAACUAAAAUUAAAACAUCUUUGAGAGCAAGGGGGCCCACUGGUGUUUCGGGGGCCCUACGCAGCUUGCGUAUUCUGCGUAUAGGGAGGAUCGGCUCUGCCAGUAAGAAACCACAGCAUUGAUCAAGAAAAUCCACAGCUAAACCCAUGGGUGGGAAUCAUCUUGGAAGAAAGUUUGGCAAUGGAUGAACUGACCAAUCUCAGCCCUUCUAUUCCAUUUUUUUUCACUGAUUUAUGUCCUGCACCUGGACCACCCUAAGUGUAUGAAAAGCACUUGAUAUUUUAUUCAGAAGGUAAUGCUCAACCGAGGAAAAGGUGAGCUUACACCUAAAAUUCAUUACUCGGAGUUGUUGUGAUUCUGAGAUAGACUGUUUAUGUGCUUAUUAACAAUAAGUUAACUUGUUAAUCUAGUUUUUUCAUGUUUUAUGUGGAAAUGUUUCCAGGAUAUGAAAAAUGC